rnacentral:rRNA from 1 species
AUUGAACGCUGGCGGCAUGCCUUACACAUGCAAGUCGAACGGCAGCGGACCUUCGGGUGCCGUCGAGUGGCGAACGGGUGAGUAAAGUAUCGGAACGUACCUUUCAGUGGGGGAUAACGUAGCGAAAGUUACGCUAAUACCGCAUAUUCUGUGAGCAGGAAAGCAGGGGAUCGCAAGACCUUGCGCUGAUUGAGCGGCCGAUAUCAGAUUAGCUAGUUGGUGGGGUAAAGGCUCACCAAGCCAACGAUCUGUAGCUGGUCUGAGAGGACGACCAGCCACACUGGAACUGAGACACGGCCCAGACUCCUACGGGAGGCAGCAGUGGGGAAUAUUGGACAAUGGGCGCAAGCCUGAUCCAGCCAUGCCGCGUGUGUGAAGAAGGCCUUCGGGUUGUAAAGCACUUUCAGUAGGGAGGAAGCGUUAUGUGUUAAUAGUACACAGCGUUGACGUUACCUACAGAAGAAGCACCGGCUAACUCUGUGCCAGCCGCCGCGGUAACAC